rnacentral:rRNA from 1 species
GACGAACGCUGGCGGCAUGCCUAACACAUGCAAGUCGAACGGAGAAUUCCUUCGGGGAUUCUUAGUGGCGAACGGGUGAGUAACGCGUAGGCAACCUGCCCUUUGGAUGGGGACAACAUUCCGAAAGGAGUGCUAAUACCGAAUGUGACGAUUUUACCGCAUGGUUUAAUCGUGAAAGAUGGCCUCUACAUGUAAGCUAUCGCCAAAGGAUGGGCCUGCGUCUGAUUAGCUAGUUGGUGGGGUAACGGCUCACCAAGGCGACGAUCAGUAGCCGGUCUGAGAGGAUGAACGGCCACAUUGGGACUGAGACACGGCCCAG